ACGCUAGGCGGCGUGCCUAAUACAUGCAAGUCGAACGAACUUCCGUUAAUUGAUUAUGACGUACUUGUACUGAUUGAGAUUUUAACACGAAGUGAGUGGCGAACGGGUGAGUAACACGUGGGUAACCUGCCCAGAAGUAGGGGAUAACACCUGGAAACAGAUGCUAAUACCGUAUAACAGAGAAAACCGCAUGGUUUUCUUUUAAAAGAUGGCUCUGCUAUCACUUCUGGAUGGACCCGCGGCGUAUUAGCUAGUUGGUGAGGUAAAGGCUCACCAAGGCAGUGAUACGUAGCCGACCUGAGAGGGUAAUCGGCCACAUUGGGACUGAGACACGGCCCAGACUCCUACGGGAGGCAGCAGUAGGGAAUCUUCCACAAUGGACGCAAGUCUGAUGGAGCAACGCCGCGUGAGUGAAGAAGGGUUUCGGCUCGUAAAGCUCUGUUGUUAAAGAAGAACGUGGGUAAGAGUAACUGUUUACCCAGUGACGGUAUUUAACCAGAAAGCCACGGCUAACUACGUGCCAGCAGCCGCGGUAAUACGUAGGUGGCAAGCGUUAUCCGGAUUUAUUGGGCGUAAAGCGAGCGCAGGCGGUCUUUUAAGUCUAAUGUGAAAGCCUUCGGCUCAACCGAAGAAGUGCAUUGGAAACUGGGAGACUUGAGUGCAGAAGAGGACAGUGGAACUCCAUGUGUAGCGGUGAAAUGCGUAGAUAUAUGGAAGAACACCAGUGGCGAAGGCGGCUGUCUGGUCUGCAACUGACGCUGAGGCUCGAAAGCAUGGGUAGCGAACAGGAUUAGAUACCCUGGUAGUCCAUUGCCGUAAACGAUGAUUACUAAGUGUUGGAGGGUUUCCGCCCUUCAGUGCUGCAGCUAACGCAUUAAGUAAUCCGCCUGGGGAGUACGACCGCAAGGUUGAAACUCAAAAGAAUUGACGGGGGCCCGCACAAGCGGUGGAGCAUGUGGUUUAAUUCGAAGCUACGCGAAGAACCUUACCAGGUCUUGACAUCUUCUGACAGUCUAAGAGAUUAGAGGUUCCCUUCGGGGACAGAAUGACAGGUGGUGCAUGGUUGUCGUCAGCUCGUGUCGUGAGAUGUUGGGUUAAGUCCCGCAACGAGCGCAACCCUUAUUACUAGUUGCCAGCAUUAAGUUGGGCACUCUAGUGA
rnacentral:rRNA from 1 species